AACGAACGCUGGCGGCAGGCUUAACACAUGCAAGUCGAACGGACGUAGCAAUACGUUAGUGGCAGACGGGUGAGUAACGCGUGGGAACGUGCCCUUUAGUUCGGAAUAACACAGAGAAAUUUGUGCUAAUACCGGAUAAUCCCGAGAGGGGAAAGAUUUAUCGCUGAAGGAGCGGCCCGCGUCUGAUUAGCUAGUUGGUGAGGUAAUGGCUCACCAAGGCGACGAUCAGUAGCUGGUCUGAGAGGAUGAUCAGCCACACUGGGACUGAGACACGGCCCAGACUCCUACGGGAGGCAGCAGUGGGGAAUAUUGGACAAUGGGGGCAACCCUGAUCCAGCCAUGCCGCGUGAGUGAUGAAGGCCUUAGGGUUGUAAAACUCUUUUAUCCGGGAAGAUAAUGACUGUACCGGAAGAAUAAGCCCCGGCUAACCUCGUGCCAGCAGCCGCGGUAA
rnacentral:rRNA from 1 species